GAUGAACGCUGGCGGCGUGCUUAACACAUGCAAGUCGAACGGAAAGGCCCAAGCUUGCUUGGGUACUCGAGUGGCGAACGGGUGAGUAACACGUGGGUGAUCUGCCCUGCACUUCGGGAUAAGCCUGGGAAACUGGGUCUAAUACCGGAUAGGACGAUGGUUUGGAUGCCAUUGUGGAAAGUUUUUUCGGUGUGGGAUGAGCUCGCGGCCUAUCAGCUUGUUGGUGGGGUAAUGGCCUACCAAGGCGUCGACGGGUAGCCGGCCUGAGAGGGUGUACGGCCACAUUGGGACUGUGAUACAGCCCAGACUCGGGCGGGGGGCAGAAGUGGGGAAUAUUGGACGAUGGGAGGAAGCGUGAGGCAGCGAGGCCGCGUGGGCGAUGACGGCCUUCGGGUGGGAAACACCUAUGGCUAGGGAAGAAGCGUUUUUGUGACGGUACCUGGAGAAGAAGCACCGGCUAACUACGUG
rnacentral:rRNA from 1 species